UCCGCAGCGCAGCCCCUACCAUUUGGAAAGCGCCAACCGGGAGAGCGAGUGGGGAUACCUAAGUGGUUAAUUAAGAGCUGUUGGGGCGCCCGGAGAGUCUCCUAAAAAAUCCUUCUGAUGUCUGCCGUGUCAAGUGUCUCUCUCAGGCAAAGCCACAUGAGGCAGCAGCCACGGCAGGCUAAUUACUGAGAAACCGGGAGCAGCUGAGAGUCAGUCUCUAAAUGAGGCUGCUCCUAGCUAGCGCACCCAAGUGUUUUCGUUUCAUCACGACGCCCAUUCCAACAAAGUAAACAAACAAACAGACGCGUAACAAAACGAAAUGGACGCAACGCCAAUAAGGGAGAGCGCCACUCAAAUAUUUUCUUAUUUAAUUCUCCGAAUUCCCAGCUGCCGUGUUGAAAUUUCGCUCGAAGGGGAAACCCUGCCAGAGCGAAGCGCGACAAUGAGCGAUCCGAGCUGCGGCAGCCGCAAAAUCCCAUGCUGAUGAUGAUGCAUCGGACCAUUGCAAGGCUCCCCCCCUCGCAUCCAGCCCCGCUGCCGAGCGAGGGUAGACUAAUGGUGGAAGAGAAACAAUGACGGUUUUAACAGCCGGAGCUGCCUACAGCAAAGCCGCUUUAGCGAGCAGCGACCGCAGCCGCAUCAGCGAUGACAGAAGACUGGCAGAGAAAACAGGCCAACAAUGUGGCUCAGAAGCUGACCCUCACAGGGCCUAACCAAACUGUCCGCUUUCCACGCCCUGGCUAGUGCCUACGUCCCCCGCUUGUGAUGUCACGGCUCAGCCGUCCUCCCUGACUGCCGCGAGGCUAAGAUUGACAGGUCACCUGUCAGGGAGCCUCUCCCAGCAGCUGCCUUUGGGUCCCUGCAUAUGAGAUCUUCGCGGGAUGGGAAUGGGGCACCGGUUUUAAAUUGGUGUAGUCCAGGGUGACAUUUCUCACAGUGGGUCGAUAACAAAAUGACAGUGUACGUACAAAUGUGAUUCACCAGACAAUCGGCUUGUGCUGCUACUUCUCCCGGCACAGUGUAUAUUUGACUGACAUACUUUCCUGGGAUUAUCAGCAAACAUGUUUCACUAUGAUGAGAAAUAAAAUAUAUACAUUAUGUACACAUCAA